AGUGAACGCUGGCGGUAGGCCUAACACAUGCAAGUCGAACGGCAGCACAGUAAGAGGUUGCUCUUACGGGUGGCGAGUGGCGGACGGGUGAGGAAUACGUCGGAAUCUACUUUUUCGUGGGGGAUAACGUAGGGAAACUUACGCUAAUACCGCAUACGACCUACGGGUGAAAGCAGGGGAUCUUCGGACCUUGCGCGAUUGAAUGAGCCGAUGUCGGAUUAGCUAGUUGGCGGGGUAAAGGCCCACCAAGGCGACGAUCCGUAGCUGGUCUGAGAGGAUGAUCAGCCACACUGGAACUGAGACACGGUCCAGACUCCUACGGGAGGCAGCAGUGGGGAAUAUUGGACAAUGGGCGCAAGCCUGAUCCAGCCAUACCGCGUGGGUGAAGAAGGCCUUCGGGUUGUAAAGCCCUUUUGUUGGGAAAGAAAAGCAGCAGGUUAAUACCCCGCUGUUCUGACGGUACCCAAAGAAUAAGCACCGGCUAACUUCGUG
rnacentral:rRNA from 1 species